UACGGAGGGGGCUAGCGUUGUUCGGAAUUACUGGGCGUAAAGCGCACGUAGGCGGAUCGUUAAGUCAGAGGUGAAAUCCUGGAGCUCAACUCCAGAACUGCCUUUGAUACUGGCGAUCUUGAGUUCGAGAGAGGUGAGUGGAACUGCGAGUGUAGAGGUGAAAUUCGUAGAUAUUCGCAAGAACACCAGUGGCGAAGGCGGCUCACUGGCUCGAUACUGACGCUGAGGUGCGAAAGCGUGGGGAGCAAACAGG
rnacentral:rRNA from 1 species